AGGGCACCACCAGGAGUGGAGCCUGCGGCUUAAUUUGACUCAACACGGGAAAACUCACCCGGCCCGGACACUGUAAAGAUUGACGUAUUAAGAGCUACUUCUCGAUUCAGUGGGUGGUGGUGCAUGGCCGUUCUUAGUUGGUGGAGUGAUUUGUCUGGUUGAUUCCGAUAACGAACGAGACUCUAGCCUGCUAAAUAGGCGUCCGAUUAACGGCCUACGUUCGGUCCCCGGCUGGCUUCGGUCGGCCGGUGUGUCUCGGGCGUAGGCAUCGUCGGGCGAAGCCGUUUCACGACGGCGCUACUUCUUAGAGGGACUGGCGGCGUCUAGCCGCACGAAAUUGAGCGAUAACAGGUCUGUGAUGCCCUUAGAUGUCCGGGGCCGCACGCGCGCUACACUGAACGAGUCAACGUGCGUUCGCUUCCCUGUCCGAAAGGACCGGGCAACCCGUUGAAUCUCGUUCGUGAUAGGGAUCGGGGCUUGUAAUUAUUCCCCGUGAACGAGGAAUUCCCAGUAGGUGCG
rnacentral:rRNA from 1 species